UACGAAGGGGGCUAGCGUUGCUCGGAAUCACUGGGCGUAAAGCGUACGUAGGCGGUUAUUCAAGUCAGAGGUGAAAGCCCGGGGCUCAACCCCGGAACGGCCUUUGAAACUAGAUAGCUAGAGUCUUGGAGAGGUUAGUGGAAUUCCGAGUGUAGAGGUGAAAUUCGUAGAUAUUCGGAAGAACACCAGUGGCGAAGGCGACUAACUGGACAAGUACUGACGCUGAGGUACGAAAGCGUGGGGAGCAAACAGG
rnacentral:rRNA from 1 species